CAGUUCGUACUGUGAAGCAUCCUAGUUAAGUCAGGCAACGAGCGAGACCCUAGCCCACAGUUGCCAGCGUACUCUCUGGAGUGACGGGUACACUGUGGGGACCGCCGCUGCUAAAGCGGAGGAAGGAAUGGGCAACGGUAGGUCAGUAUGCCCCGAAUAUCCCGGGCUACACGCGAGCUACAAUGGUUGGUACAAUGGGUAUCUACCCCGAAAGGGGACGGGAAUCUCCUAAAACCAAUCUUAGUUCGGAUUGAGGGCUGCAACUCGCCCUCAUGAAGCUGGAAUCCGUAGUAAUCGCGUUUCAACAGAACGCGGUGAAUACGUCCCUGCUCCUU
rnacentral:rRNA from 1 species